UGUCCUCCCGCCGCAACGGCCCCUGGGGAGGGUAGUCCAGACCCGGCGGCGCGACUGCUGGGCUUAGUUCCCCGACCCGGCCUCGGGGCCGCUACACUCAGCCCCCUGCUGAGGCCCCCAGACGGGGAACAGAACCGCCCAGAAGCCUCUCAGUCCCGACUCCAGGCGCCCAAAGUACAGGCCGGCUCCCUGAAGCGAGCCGAGUCCCGAAGAUUCUGGGAACCCCCGCCAGGCUCAGAGUGCGCAGGCGCCGCCGUGAGGCGCACAGCGCGGAGGCCUGGGUACUGCGUCCCCGCGCCUGCGCCUAUAGUAUCGCUGGAGGCGUGCGGCGCGCAGGCGCUCGGAAAGUGGGCGGGGCUUAGGGCAGGCGGGCCCAGAAGCAGAUCCUUAUUGAUAGACCCAUCAGAAAAUAGAAGUCACAAAGGAAACCACACCCCAAAAUUUGGAAAGACCGGCAAAUACUGAAAAUCAUGGCAGGAAGCCAGCUGCCAUGUUGUGAGCUGUCCAUGUGGAAAGAAUUGAUAUGUCCAGACAAAAGCCAGCAAGGACCCCAACCCAGCCAACAGUUUAAAUGAGUGCGUCUGCAAGAUGAUUAUCCUCCCAUGAAGCCUUCAGGUGAAUGUCGCACUGGCUAACAACCUGCCUGCAGCCUUGUGGGAAUUGAGGCACCCAGCUAAGCCACACCUGGACUCCUUACCCAAAGAGUGAGCUAAUAAACAUGUUUGUUUUAAGCCAC